UGUCAUGUAGAGCAGCUGAAUUCAGCUUGUCAAAUAAAUGUCAGAUACUGAUGAAUGUCCCUUAUGGAGUGUGCACUGAAGAUUAUGUAUAAAAAGGCAACAACCUCACAUAACUGGCUCCUCCCCUACCAGGGUCCUCUGCAAGGAUUCCUGCCUUGUCAUCCCGGGCACCGGAACGCUGGCAGCAUCCUCUCCACAACCAGCUUUGGAAAUGGCACCGUGAGUCACUCUAAAAAGCCGUGCAGAUUCACUACAAGCCCUGCUCUUAUGUAUCUUUGGGUUGAAAAAACGUGUCUCCUGGGAUUUCCCUGGUGGCGCCGCGGUUAAGAAUCCGCCUGCCAAUGCAGGGGACACGGGUUCGAUCCCUGGUCUGGGAAGAUCUCACACACCAUGA